CUCCUCCCUCCCUCCCUGUGAUAGCGGCGACGCGCGGCGCGCUCCUGACAGCCCACUCGUGCUGCUGCUAUACUGUAAUCAUAUGAUAGGGAGUCGAUCCCCGCUGCAGAAUACCGACACACCGGGCCGGACACCAGCAGAGCAGCCGGGGCGGAGGACACCAGUUGAUGGUAGAUUUUUGAGCCUUUGAAGAAGUGCGUGGAGUCCGUUGAAGUGUCAAAAACAGCCAAACUCCCCCUAUAAAGGAACUUUUUCAAACUCUGAAGAGAGUCGGAAAGAAGGGGGAACCGUGUGGAAGAAGACAGGGCGCACAGACGAAACGUUGACCGAAGGACAGUCGAUUUAACCGGAGCUUUGAGAUUUGAGGUUGAAGCAGCUAUAACAAGAAGAGAGGCGGUCAGGCGGGUCGCGGCCGGUGGAAACCCCUGGGGUCCUCGCAUCGCUGCUUCUCGGGGUGUUGUUUUUUUGUGAAUUUCCCCACAAGUUUCUCAACCAUCUAGGUCACUUUAUCGUUAAAGCCAUGGUCGGGGAGACAGAGGUGAAGGAGAGACCCAAGUCCAACCCGGACUACCUAAUGCAGCUGAUGAACGACAGGAAGGUGAUGAGCUCCCUGCCCAACUUCAGCGGCAUCUUUACGCAUCUGGAGCGGCUGCUGGAUGAGGAAAUCGGCAGGGUACGCAAGGACAUGUACAAUGACACGGUGAACGGCGGCAUGUUUAACGGGCGGGACAUGGAGGAGCUCCCCGAAGCUAUCGGCCCCGUGGCUCAGCUGCAGGAGAAGCUCUAUGUGCCUGUCAAAGAGUACCCUGACUUUAACUUUGUAGGGAGGAUCCUCGGCCCGCGUGGACUGACGGCCAAACAACUGGAGGCAGAGACUGGCUGCAAGAUUAUGGUGCGAGGAAAGGGCUCCAUGAGAGACAAGAAGAAGGAGGAGAUGAACCGAGGGAAGCCCAACUGGGAGCACCUCAGCGAGGACCUCCACGUCCUGAUCACAGUGGAGGACACACACAACCGGGCCAAGAUCAAACUCCAGCGGGCCAUCAACGAGGUCAAGAAACUUCUCGUGCCAGCUGCUGAGGGGGAGGACAACCUGAAGAAAAUGCAGUUGAUGGAGCUGGCCAUUCUCAAUGGGACCUACAGAGACGCCAAUGUCAAGACGCCCACCGCCGGUUUCCCUCUAGGGACCCCUCAGGCGCCUCGGAUCAUCACAGCCCAGACGCCCGUCCUGCCUCCCUCACUGCGCAACCCCGCCCCUGUCUCCACACCGACCAUCAUGCCUCUGAUUCGUCAGAUCCAGAGCUCCGCCCUCGUGCAGGGAGGCAAUCCGCACCCAGCGCUGGUGCAGCAAGGGCCUGAAUCUGGAAUAAUCUACACGCCGUACGAGUAUCCCUACACACUCACGCCCUCCAUAUUGGAAUACCCGAUUGACUCGACUGGAGUAUUAGUCCCUUCUUCCUGUGUUUUUGCAGGUAUGGCUUUCCCAACCAAAGGCUAAGCGAUAGCAACUCUUCCUAGCACACACACGGACUGGCUUGCAGAGACCCCCCCUCCCCCCAUCCCCUCCUUCCCUACAUACUUGUCCCACAGAGCAAACACUCAAAGUUUGCUCAUACGUUAGGAUGACAGAUUCCUCGACAGUCAUUCUGUAGUCAAGUGUCCAUUCCUGUUAAUUUCCUCUUUGUAUUAGCAGACUAGUGUUGUGGUGUGACAGCUACUUAACUUUUUUUAAUAGUUCAGCUUCUGCUUGUAAUUUUAACACAUUUUUAGUGAAGCCAUAGAUAUUUUAGCGCCGCUGUUUGUGAUUUAAUAUAAAGCUUAUUUUUAAUCACAGAGCUAUAGAGUGACUUUGCUUACAGCCGAUGUUGAAUCUACUAGUGAAGCUUAGUGAGAAAUUAGUGGUUUGGAUUAAUAUUUUCUUUAGAGAACAGAAGACCACAAAACAACAAUAAUUCUGUCUCUUAUUAGAUGUUUUGACUUAUUUUCACCCUCAGCCUUGAACACUUGUAAAUUCCUGGUUUCACUGAUGUUGGUGCCAGUGGACUGUUUGAUGUCUUUCUGAUGAGUAACCUUCUGUGUUCUGUUUUGGCGAUGUCAAUGGCUGUUAGCAGGUGCCAUGACCACUAAGGUACGACGCCACGACAAGAGAAUCCAUCCUUACCAAAGGGUAGUGACCCCAGACAGAGCUGCCACGGCAACUAACCCAUGACCCCUUGACCUUCUGACCUUUCCGCCCACUGAUGACCCACCCAUCUCUGCCUGCUGGCGUGCUCAUUGGCCCACGGCCCCGCCACUCCCCCAGCUCAGCCAACCAGACCAGCACAUUGGGAACAACCCCGGCUGCUUCUGUCUAACCAGCCAACCAGACGACAGCGAUCAUGGGAAUAAACCUCAGGACCCACCCAUCACCAAGUCCUAACCUAAACUUUACCAAACGUGCCUUCCUUCCAAAAGUCCAAAGCCAGUCUGAGAAUGUUCUAUAACCAGUAGAAUUCCCAAUCUGUAACAGCUGUUGCCGUGCAUAACCAGUAGACUGUACUGGUGAAGGGCUCCUAAACCAAUCCCUGGCUGUGCCAACUGUCUCACUGAGCUGCCCUCAGUCCAUGUGAUGCAAUAAUAAUAAUGACUCUAUUAAUAACAUGGUAACUACACUGAUAAUAAUGGUACUUAUCCGGCACAGAAACCUUUCAUAAACACUAAAAACUAAACGAGAUAUGUUGAUAUUUUCAAGCAUCUGUCUUCAUCGGGCACCUCUUCUUAAAAAGGGAAACUUUGGUAUUUUUCAUACUGGACCCAGUUUUCCCACAUUUUUGUGUUGAAGUGACUAAUGGAGAACAGGUUUUGAAAUUGGUCCAGUACUGAACGAGAGAUGUACAUCCACUAAAAGUGCCUGGAAUUGCCACAGCUCCUAUUGUGUCUGACAAUAACAUAAGGUCCGUUUCCAUCCAUCCAUUUUCAAUUUAGGCUUAAAAAAACCUGAGUGGGAAAGCAGAAAAUUCAAAAACAUCUUGAACUAUCGCAAAAAUGUUUUUAUGCUUUGCUGAAGUGGAAAAGUUAGUGUGCCAAUAAAUGUAAAAAAAAAAACUGCAAAGUGCAAUUGAAACAGAUUUUUUGCGAAUAAAUGAUGACGUACAUAAAGCCUCCGCUCUGCUAAGGAAACGGAAAAUAGCAACACAUUAAAAGCUGCGGCCCCACAUUGUCGAAUAUUCCCCGUUCACAUCCUUUUUACACGGGCAAAGGGGCAACUGAAACAUUUGCUCACAGCUGCAAAACUAAUUUGCAUUUUCGUUUCACGUUGUGUUCAACCAUGGCUAACUUUGACCCGGGAAGUCGCAGCCUCACCCAAAACCCACAUAGCAAUGGUCACUCGCCAUGUUCGACAGCAGCCUUAAACUGUCUGCUCAUCACUCCUUACAGAUCUGAUGUAACCUCUUUGCAUUAAUAAUUGGGUAAAAAAUGGAAUACCAAAUUUCCAAUCAAGUUUCUACUUUGUUUUUUUUACCAUUUGAGAUUCAACUGACACAUUUCUAGUUACGUCAUCUUGUCCACCCUCUUCUUCUGCAAUGAUUUAAUGGAUUUCCAACAGAAGAAACGGUGCGACCUACUGCCUAUCUUGAUCAACCAAUUCCUAAUAGUAAUAAUAUAACCAUAGAGGAUGGAAACAAGCAUUAAUUUUUUUCGCUGAUUUUCUCUAAAUCUUUUCAAAUUUGCGAUACAAGGACGUUUGUUUGUUCUGAAAUCUUGCUUGGUGACUUGUCAGACAGGUUGGAACUCCUACGAAAAGUAAUGCACUGAAUUGCGUAGCUAUCUCACAAAAUUUAGUCAGUUUAUGUAGCAUACAGACCAAGAAAACCCAGGACUUUAACACGGGAGAACGUUGUUCUGGGUCACUGAUGUACAGUAACUACGUUCAGUAGUUCAGUAAUUUUAAGCCGAACCCAGCUAUUAUUUCCUGACUCAACAAGUGAUUUUGUUGCCCAAACAUAAGUAGGUCAGUAUCAAAACCGUACCAACAUGUUUAUAACAGCAACCGUUAUUUUGUAGGAUAUCUUACAUUUUCAAUGUCAUUGCUGAAUAUUUAGCAGAUUUUGACAAAAUCAAAGAGGCAACAAGAGCGAGAAGUAAAGAAAAAUGGUCCUUUUCAUGUUGUCAGACACUUAUAAUAACAAUUGGAGAACUUUUUGUGGAAGUAUAUUAAUGGCACACAAUUACAAGAACAAUUACAUUGCAGCCUGCUUUGUUGCAGCGCUCCCGUCAAAGUCUUUAUCAAUAAAAGUAGCUGGCACUGGCUCCAAAAGUCAACCAGAUUAUGUCAUACGCUGAUUUGCAUUUUGGUGACGCCAUCGUGCAUGAUUUGUAUGAAGCUUAGAGGCCGGCUCGGCACAAGAGAGGAGGUAAAGAGUCUGUGCUGCUGGCAGAAAAGCUGUGGACUCUUGAGAAUCCUGCUUGGGAAUGAUUUACACAAUAAUAUGUUUCUUUCUUUUUGAACAAUGGUCUGAAAAGUCACUAAAUCUAGUGAUAAAAUCAGCAAAUUUGCAACACUGGCUCUCGCUUGAUACUGUAGCAAUUUCAAAAAGGUUUGUCCCCAUGAAUCACUUGGCCACAAGAACAUGGGAACUUGGUCUCAAGGUUGAAAAAAUCCUGAAGUUUCCUUUUCAAUUUUCCACACAUUCUUUAGAGGGAUAAGUCUUUUCUGGGCCAGCAUACAUCAAUUAAUUUACGCAUCAUAAUCAGUGUUAGAAUGUCCACAUAUUACCAUGUUUCCCCUUGAGAUGUAACUCCAACAUGUGGUUCCCAUGAUGAGUUUUAAAUGUCACUAGCUUUUUUUACUCUGUGCCUCAUUUCCUGUAAAAAUGACACAUUUCUCUCUUUAACACAUUUGAAUGAAGGGGGGAAAAAGGUAAAAUGCCAGUUUAAAGCAACAGGUGCUCAGUGAGGAACAAAAACAAACUGGAAACUGAAAUGCCAAAGUGUCUCUUGAGUUGUUUUUAAUAGGUAAAGUAUCCCAAUACUGAGUGGAUAUAUGCAGAAUAAAUGCCAAGUCUGUAAAGCACAGGAACACACACACACACAAAGGGAAGGUUGCAUUUCUUCUGUCUGAAUGGAAAGGACCUACACAACGAUGCCUUUGCCUUUUUCACACUACAGUAUUGUACGAGCUCGAACAACAGUGCCUUUAUUUAUUUGAGAGCGAUGGAACAAUGUUACACCUAAAUCUUUUUUGCUGCGACAUCUUUGGGGUUUGUGCCCAGCAUCAAAUUAUGUCCUUUGGGUUUAUGCAGAUUAAUUCUCAUCAUCUACAUUUUAUGGCUUUACAUCCACAACCCUCCUCAAGUCAGAUUUUAGUGCCAAAAAACACGUAAAAAAAGUGGCUCAUUUGAAUUGGAGGUGCAAUGCAGCAUUGAAGCAGCAGCUACAUGUCUGAAAUGUUUAUGUAUGAGGUUCGGAUGCCUCGAGAGAACAGUGUUACCUUUUUUUUUUGUUUGUUUGUUUGUUUGUUUUGUUGGAAGUCGUCCAUAUCUAUAUUUCUGCAUGUUAUACACACAAACCAAGUGAUGCCUUGACAUAAAAAAAGAAAGAAAUCAUGGAGCCGUAACAUCUGUAACAAGUUUAUAAUGUAUUUUUAUAUUCUAUUUUGUACGUGAAAAUAACAUUAAAUGACCUUUUCAGAUAAGAAGAUCAUGCCUUAUUAUGGAGAGUAAUUUGAUGAGCAUUAACGAUCCUUCAUGUGUCACUAUUGGUGAUCACUGUCCUGAUAUACUGGAGUCUCUCAUGUAUUAACUUGAGCCUUUGAGAUCAACGUUGCUUGCCCUCUGUGCCUUUUGUAUACUCUGAGUGUGACAAUUAACAGUGUAGUACCACAUUAAUCUACUCUUCAAGUGUAGGUUACUAACUGUUACCACUUCUGUGAUUAUUAACCACUUUAAUUGUAUCUGUCUCUGCUUUGGAUUCCUUUAAAAACAAUACAUGUGUGUCUAAAAAAAAAGAUGAAAAAGAAACGUAUGUGAUGAACUUUUAACUUUUAAAGUGAGCAGGAAUAACUCUUUGUACACUAUUAAACUCAUAGUUGUUUAAACUAACAAA